rnacentral:rRNA from 1 species
UACGGGGGGGGCAAGCGUUGUUCGGAAUUACUGGGCGUAAAGCGUGCGCAGGCGGUUUUGUAAGUUUGUCGUGAAAGCCCCGGGCUCAACCUGGGAAUUGCGAUGAAGACUGCAAGGCUUGAAUCUGGCAGAGGGGGGUAGAAUUCCACGUGUAGCAGUGAAAUGCGUAGAGAUGUGGAGGAACACCGAUGGCGAAGGCAGCCCCCUGGGUCAAGAUUGACGCUCAUGCACGAAAGCGUGGGGAGCAAACAGG